GGGUUGUGAGGUUAAGUGACUAAGCGUACACGGUGGAUGCCCUGGCAGUCAGAGGCGAUGAAGGACGUGCUAAUCUGCGAAAAGCGUCGGUAAGGUGAUAUGAACCGUUAUAACCGGCGAUGUCCGAAUGGGGAAACCCAGUGCAAUUCGUUGCACUAUCGUUAACUGAAUACAUAGGUUAACGAGGCGAACCGGGGGAACUGAAACAUCUAAGUACCCCGAGGAAAAGAAAUCAACCGAGAUUCCCCCAGUAGCGGCGAGCGAACGGGGAGCAGCCCAGAGUCUGAAUCAGCUUGUGUGUUAGUGGAACGGUCUGGAAAGUCCGACGGUACAGGGUGAUAGUCCCGUACACCAAAAUGCACAGGCUGUGAACUCGAAGAGUAGGGCGGGACACGUGGUAUCCUGUCUGAAUAUGGGGGGACCAUCCUCCAAGGCUAAAUACUCCUGACUGACCGAUAGUGAACCAGUACCGUGAGGGAAAGGCGAAAAGAACCCCGGCGAGGGGAGUGAAAAAGAACCUGAAACCGUGUACGUACAAGCAGUGGGAGCACCUUCGGGUGUGACUGCGUACCUUUUGUAUAAUGGGUCAGCGACUUAUAUUCUGUAGCAAGGUUAACCGUAUAGGGGAGCCGCAGGGAAACCGAGUCUUAACUGGGCGUUAAGUUGCAGGGUAUAGACCCGAAACCCGGUGAUCUAGCCAUGGGCAGGUUGAAGGUUGGGUAACACUAACUGGAGGACCGAACCGACUAAUGUUGAAAAAUUAGCGGAUGACUUGUGGCUGGGGGUGAAAGGCCAAUCAAACCGGGAGAUAGCUGGUUCUCCCCGAAAGCUAUUUAGGUAGCGCCUCGUGAACUCAUCUUCGGGGGUAGAGCACUGUUUCGGCUAGGGGGUCAUCCCGACUUACCAACCCGAUGCAAACUACGAAUACCGAAGAAUGUUAUCACGGGAGACACACGGCGGGUGCUAACGUCCGUCGUGAAGAGGGAAACAACCCAGACCGCCAGCUAAGGUCCCAAAGUCAUGGUUAAGUGGGAAACGAUGUGGGAAGGCACAGACAGCCAGGAUGUUGGCUUAGAAGCAGCCAUCAUUUAAAGAAAGCGUAAUAGCUCACUGGUCGAGUCGGCCUGCGCGGAAGAUGUAACGGGGCUAAACCAUGCACCGAAGCUGCGGCAGCGACACUAUGUGUUGUUGGGUAGGGGAGCGUUCUGUAAGCCUGCGAAGGUGUGCUGUGAGGCAUGCUGGAGGUAUCAGAAGUGCGAAUGCUGACAUAAGUAACGAUAAAGCGGGUGAAAAGCCCGCUCGCCGGAAGACCAAGGGUUCCUGUCCAACGUUAAUCGGGGCAGGGUGAGUCGACCCCUAAGGCGAGGCCGAAAGGCGUAGUCGAUGGGAAACAGGUUAAUAUUCCUGUACUUGGUGUUACUGCGAAGGGGGGACGGAGAAGGCUAUGUUAGCCGGGCGACGGUUGUCCCGGUUUAAGCAUGUAGGCUGAUUGUCCAGGCAAAUCCGGAUAAUCAAGGCUGAGGUGUGAUGACGAGGCACUACGGUGCUGAAGUAACAAAUGCCCUGCUUCCAGGAAAAGCCUCUAAGCAUCAGGUAACAUCAAAUCGUACCCCAAACCGACACAGGUGGUCAGGUAGAGAAUACCAAGGCGCUUGAGAGAACUCGGGUGAAGGAACUAGGCAAAAUGGUGCCGUAACUUCGGGAGAAGGCACGCUGGUGUGUAGGUGAAGCCCCUGCGGGUGGAGCUGAGACCAGUCGAAGAUACCAGCUGGCUGCAACUGUUUAUUAAAAACACAGCACUGUGCAAACACGAAAGUGGACGUAUACGGUGUGACGCCUGCCCGGUGCCGGAAGGUUAAUUGAUGGGGUUAUCCGUAAGGAGAAGCUCUUGAUCGAAGCCCCGGUAAACGGCGGCCGUAACUAUAACGGUCCUAAGGUAGCGAAAUUCCUUGUCGGGUAAGUUCCGACCUGCACGAAUGGCGUAAUGAUGGCCAGGCUGUCUCCACCCGAGACUCAGUGAAAUUGAACUCGCUGUGAAGAUGCAGUGUACCCGCGGCAAGACGGAAAGACCCCGUGAACCUUUACUAUAGCUUGACACUGAACAUUGAGCCUUGAUGUGUAGGAUAGGUGGGAGGCUUUGAAGCGUGGACGCCAGUCUGCGUGGAGCCAACCUUGAAAUACCACCCUUUAAUGUUUGAUGUUCUAACGUUGGCCCCUUACCGGGGUUGCGGACAGUGUCUGGUGGGUAGUUUGACUGGGGCGGUCUCCUCCCAAAGCGUAACGGAGGAGCACGAAGGUUAGCUAAUCCUGGUCGGACAUCAGGAGGUUAGUGCAAUGGCAUAAGCUAGCUUGACUGCGAGCGUGACGGCGCGAGCAGGUGCGAAAGCAGGUCAUAGUGAUCCGGUGGUUCUGAAUGGAAGGGCCAUCGCUCAACGGAUAAAAGGUACUCCGGGGAUAACAGGCUGAUACCGCCCAAGAGUUCAUAUCGACGGCGGUGUUUGGCACCUCGAUGUCGGCUCAUCACAUCCUGGGGCUGAAGUAGGUCCCAAGGGUAUGGCUGUUCGCCAUUUAAAGUGGUACGCGAGCUGGGUUUAGAACGUCGUGAGACAGUUCGGUCCCUAUCUGCCGUGGGCGCUGGAGAAUUGAGGGGGGCUGCUCCUAGUACGAGAGGACCGGAGUGGACGCAUCACUGGUGUUCGGGUUGUCAUGCCAAUGGCACUGCCCGGUAGCUAAAUGCGGAAGAGAUAAGUGCUGAAAGCAUCUAAGCACGAAACUUGCCCCGAGAUGAGUUCUCCCUGAGACUUUAAGUCUCCUGAAGGAACGUUAAAGACGAUGACGUUGAUAGGCCGGGUGUGUAAGCGCAGCGAUGCGUUGAGCUAACCGGUACUAAUGAACCGUGAGGCUUAACCUUACAACGCCGAAG
rnacentral:rRNA from 1 species